rnacentral:rRNA from 1 species
UGGUUGUCGUCAGCUCGUGUCGUGAGAUGUUGGUUAAGUCCGCAACGAGCGCAACCCUCGACCUUAGUUGCCAGCAUUCAGUUGGGCACUCUAAGGUGACUGCCGGCUAAAAGUCGGAGGAAGGUGGGGAUGACGUCAAAUCAUCAUGCCCCUUAUGACCUGGGCUACACACGUGCUACAAUGGGCGGUACAAAGGGUCGCGAACCCGCGAGGGGGAGCCAAUCCCAAAAAGCCGCUCUCAGUUCGGAUUGCAGGCUGCAACUCGCCUGCAUGAAGCCGGAAUCGCUAGUAAUCGCGGAUCAGCAUGCCGCGGUGAAUACGUUCCCGGGCCUU